rnacentral:lncRNA from 1 species
AUGAAUUUAAGGGCUUUGGUUUUCUUCAACCUUGGUACAAUCUUUUUGGCAGCGGGUAGAAAUGUGAUAUCAGAUGAGUAUUUCAAUACUGUCCCAGGAGCAACUGUGACGUUCAAUUGCCCCAAUUAUGACGCCGCGACACCACGAAUUUACGCUGUGGACGAAGCUGAGAUUACUCCAGAGUUGACUGACGAUGACAUGAUCUCGGGUACGGGAUUCAUAGUGCUUGCUAACGUUAGUGAAAAUGAUUCAAAGAUGUACGUUUGUGCUGUGCCAGGAGUCAAAGAUUACGCACAAGUGAGAAUUCAUGUGAAAGUUACAGACAAAUCUUUAUACUCCAGCCAAGAACUCAUCGAUGUACCCUCGUUCCGUCGAUUUCCGAUGGUGGGAGCAGCUGCCAAGGCAAAACACAAGCCACAGAAGAAAAAGAGGCGGAAAAAAUACCUAACUGAGGAUGAAACAACAACGACUUUGCCCUCAUCAACGACAACACAACCUUCAACAACAACAGACCUAGCUAAGAAUCCGGAUAAUCCACCCGGGGCAAAGUCUGACGAACUGGAGGAGUACAAAAACCGGACUGAGCUCCGAAAAACUCUUUACCCGCCCUCGAAACCAACAGUGAUGAAGGUGAGUGAUACGGAGGUGCAAGUAAAAUGGUCAAUCAACAUUAUGAAGGAUCACCCAGUCAAGUACUUUAUGAUCCAGUAUAUUGACAAAAACCACCUCGAUAUGGUCCUCGGCGGGGGAAACGAAUGUCAUGAUGUAGAAAAAGUGCCGGCCACCUUGUAUUGGCAUAACUUCGACCAACUCAUGCCAGGACACUCAUAUCAGUUCAGAGUCGCAGCUGUUUAUGAUGCGCCAGACGAGAUAUCUGUGCUCAGCAAAAGCUCUGAAUGGAUUGACAUAAAAUAAUUAGGACUCGAUAACGUGCCAAACAGAAACCGACAUUCUUCAUUCCUUGUUCCAGGUUCCAGGUUGCUGCUGUCUAUGACGGGAAAAAGCUCCUAUAUAGGACGAGCGAAUGGUCCGGUUGGUUCUUGCUAUGAUGUAAAUCUUGCAAUCAGUCUGACCCCGUUUCUAAUCAAAAGUUUGGGGACUAUUUCCAGACUAUCUGUGCGCACUCUAAAGCCCAAUUUACCCGGUUCAACUUUUCACUCAUCAUUUCUUCAAACUUUUGCAAAUGUUUACUGUGUCAUUCAAAUAGGAAAGAUUUCCAAUUAAUAGAGUCGGAAGAAAAAGUAGAUGAACCAUUUAACUGUGUGAAUUCGGUUUAAAAGGCUAAUAUAAAUUACCGAAUAGCUCCAUAUGUGAAUUGUGAAUAUCAUCCAAUGAGCGGGUAUGCAAAAGAAAAUUCAUGGAACGCGCAAUGAACGCUUCAUAAGGUCCGGAUUUUUUAAAAUUUUUUAGAUGAAUAGAAGUCUUUUAAGAAUCUGUGACUAGCUCUACUUAGGCCAAACUUUAAAGAUAAGCUGAGCUCCGUUUGUGAGCACAAGUUUCCUGAAACAAGUUACUUUAUUAAAAGUUAGUACUGUCUGAUUUUCAUGUAUGAUUACUUAAUGAUUUAUAUAUUUAAUUGUGUAAAUAUAAUGUUUUUCGAUAUUUUCGAUGAGUUUGUAAAUAAGUGUACAAAUCGACAAAAAGACAACAUAAAAUACUAUCGUAAAACCACGGUGGUAGUUUCCUCAUUCACCUUCAAUCAAUUUUUAACCCAAUUUAUACGCCUCAUCAGAAUAUACCAUGCAGAAUGUAUUUAUUUUGAGGUCCCAACUUUUUAAAUUCAUGACCCCCUUUUACCUCCGAAGGGGGCCGGGCGAGUUUAGAGAAAUGAAAUUUGAAUUCCUUGGGGGUCGAUAUCUCAUUCAACCUCACGGUCGCGGACUUUGUGCGACCGGAAUUAACCGAGAAAAAAAAAGCCCGUCACCGGUGAUCUGAAACACCCUGUAUGUGCCGGUAUGUCCGCGAGAUAAGGAACUUGUCGGACCCUUGGGUGCAGUACCUUAUGGGCAAAGGUCCUCCGGGUACCAGGUUGCUCUGGAUGGGUGCUUAAAUGAUGAUCCGAAGAGGUAACGUGGUAACGUAGACCGCACAAAUUGUGGUACUGCAUUCCAUAACGCAAAACCGCUGGAGCAUGAUCAUAUACGUUACUCUUCCGGAUCUUCAUGAUGACAUCG